rnacentral:rRNA from 1 species
CCCUUAGAUGUUCUGGGCUGCACGCGUGCUACACUGAUAUUGCCAAUAUGUCAUUCUUAUCCGAAAUGGAUUGGGUAAUCAAGUAAUGAAAUUUCAUGCUUGGAAUCGGUAAUUGCAAUUUUAUCGUGAACGAGGAAUUCCUAGUAAGCACUAGUCAUCAGCUAAUGUUGAUUAUGUCCCUGCCCUUUGUACACACCGCCCGUCGCUACUACUGAUUGGGUGUGCUGGUGAAAUGUUCGGAUCGGCCGUUUGUCGCGGUUUCCGCGUCAUGUGGCUGAGAAGUUCAUUAAACCCUCCCACCUAGAGGAAGGAGAAGUCGUAACA